rnacentral:rRNA from 1 species
AGCGAACGCUGGCGGCAGGCCUAACACAUGCAAGUCGAACGGUAACAGGAAGAAGCUUGCUUCUUUGCUGACGAGUGGCGGACGGGUGAGUAAUGUCUGGGAAACUGCCUGAUGGAGGGGGAUAACUACUGGAAACGGUAGCUAAUACCGCAUAACGUCGCAAGACCAAAGAGGGGGACCUUCGGGCCUCUUGCCAUCGGAUGUGCCCAGAUGGGAUUAGCUAGUAGGUGGGGUAACGGCUCACCUAGGCGACGAUCCCUAGCUGGUCUGAGAGGAUGACCAGCCACACUGGAACUGAGACACGGUCCAGACUCCUACGGGAGGCAGCAGUGGGGAAUAUUGCACAAUGGGCGCAAGCCUGAUGCAGCCAUGCCGCGUGUAUGAAGAAGGCCUUCGGGUUGUAAAGUACUUUCAGCGGGGAGGAAGGGAGUAAAGUUAAUACCUUUGCUCAUUGACGUUACCCGCAGAAGAAGCACCGGCUAACUCCGUG